rnacentral:rRNA from 1 species
UACGUAGGGGGCAAGCGUUGUCCGGAUUUAUUGGGCGUAAAGAGCGUGUAGGCGGCCAAGCAGGUCAGCUGUGAAAACUCGAGGCUCAACCUCGAGACGUCGGUUGAAACCGCUUGGCUAGAGUCCGGAAGAGGAGAGUGGAAUUCCCGGUGUAGCGGUGAAAUGCGCAGAUAUCGGGAAGAACACCGGUGGCGAAGGCGGUUCUCUGGGCCUUACCUGACGCUGAGGAGCGAAAGCGUGGGGAGCGAACAGG